rnacentral:ncRNA from 1 species
CAUUGGUAAGAAUCUAGUGCCCCGAAAACCUAAGGGUUCCUCAGCAAGGUUCGUCCAUAGAGGGUGAGUCAGAGCCUAAGAUUAGGCUGAAAGGCAUAGUCGAUGGACAACAGGUGAAUAUUCCUGUACUACCCUUUAUCACGCACUUAGUUGGUUUUGCCUAAGUCAUGUGGCACCCUUGCGUGUCCGUCCGCAAAGGUCAGCCUCCCUGAAACCUCCUAUAGUCCCUUAGGACCUAUAAAAGAGAAAAUAGGUUAGAGAAAGCAUCUCAAUCGAG